rnacentral:tRNA from 1 species
CCGCCCGUAGCUCAGUUGGUAGAGCAGCGGCCUUUUAAGCCGAUGGUCGCAGGUUCGAAUCCUGCCGGGCGGA